UACGUAGGGUGCAAGCGUUGUCCGGAUUUAUUGGGCGUAAAGAGCUCGUAGGCGGUUUGUUGCGUCGGCUGUGAAAUCCCGAGGCUCAACCUCGGGUCUGCAGUCGAUACGAGCAAACUAGAGUGUUGCAGGGGAGACUGGAAUUCCUGGUGUAGCGGUGAAAUGCGCAGAUAUCAGGAAGAACACCCGUGGCGAAGGCGGCUCUCUGGUACGUGACUGACGCUGAGACGCGAAAGCGUGGGGAGCAAACAGG
rnacentral:rRNA from 1 species